rnacentral:rRNA from 1 species
CCUGGAAACAGAUGCUAAUACCGGAUAACAACAGAUGAUGCCUAUCAACUGUUUAAAAGAUGGUUCUGCUAUCACUCUUGGAUGGACCUGCGGUGCAUUAGCUAGUUGGUAGGGUAACGGCCUACCAAGGCGAUGAUGCAUAGCCGAGUUGGGAGACUGAUCGGCCACAUUGGGACUGAGACACGGCCCAAACUCCUACGGGAGGCAGCAGAC